UCUUCCAAUUUGGCACCAAAACGUGUCACUUAUUUUGGAAAAUUGAGUCCUUUUACAACAUAAAAAUUAAUUCAUGGAGAAAAUGGCAGUUAACUCAUUUAGCAAAUUUAUUGGGAAAAGGAACAAAAAAAAAGGUAUAAGAUUAAUUAACCGAGUUUGAACCACCACGGGAUGGUCUAGUAGUUGGGAGCAAAUUAUAAGUCUAUAUUCUAUACGACACGUCUUAGGUUCAAUUCUGGUUGCUGAUGAACCGCACAAUGGUGGUUAGGGAAAUGCUGAAAUGCUGAAAUGCCUCUAUCAGUCUUCUCGACCUCGAAAUGAUAGACUAUCGUGAUGAAACCAUCAACUGGUCUCCUUUUAUUUAAAAAAAAAAAAUUAACCGAGUUUGGUAAUCUUACUUCAAUUUUUAUAAUUGGUGAGGGAUCAUCACCUUAUUAAUUAGCAAACACAAUCCAUGAUUGGUAAUUUUAAGACCAUGAUCGUGUUAGACAUAUUCUAAAGUCAUCAAUAUACUUGCAAUUCCAUCAACAUCAACAAGUGGAUGCAUGCUUAAAGCUAGUUUCCAAUAGUUUGACGCCAUGGUCUGGUUUAAUAGAAAAGUCAUCAAAGUGUAAUUAGGAUCUAUAUAAUUUUUAUAUUUCAUUUUUAUACUUUAUCGUUUGUUUCUGUACAAAUCUUCAAAUCCACCAAUCUGAUUUUCCAUUAAUUACUUGGGACAUAAUUAAUUGUCAUGCGAACCUUAGAAAAAAACGUCUCCUACGUACGUCUCACGAGACGUGUGGGACAUAAUAGCAUGCAGUGAGUGCAAAAAGAAAGAUUCUCCUCAACUUGUUUCCAACCUACAUAUUAUUUGAGAAAAUUUGGCAUCUCAGCGUGUUGUAUCAUUCAUAUUAUAAGAUGAUGAUAUUUACAUACUUAUUUUUAUUUUUUAUGCUUCAUACAUUUACUCUUAAUUUCUAAUCAUUUAAUUCUCUUCAAUUCAUUCGAUUCUGAUGCGAAAAUUAUGUUGACACACAAAUUAAACCCUCUUUUUGACAAUUGUAGUAUGGAUAAGUAGAGAUCGUUCUAAACCGGGGAUUAGGAGGGAUUGCUAAACGCUUGAAAACUGACUUAAAAACAUAAAAACAAAGUUUAAAACACUAAACUAGACUCAAAGAAUGCAAAACUAAACUCUAAAACACUAAAACAAAUCAAAAGACUCAAAACAGCACCAAAAACACUCAAAACUGCCUUAAAACACUUUCUGGGCAGUUUUGAGACUCUAAUGCAAACUUGAACGAAUUUUGGUUUCCUAAUGACCUAAAACACUUAAAAACAUAAUCUAAGACAAGUUCUAACUAAUAUGACUCAAAGAAAUAAAGUGGGGUUGAUUUUGGACGAAUUUAAAUUAAAUGGCAGAUUGUAAAGAAAACAGAUUGUAAGACAAAAUUGUGAUGAAUCAAUGGAUGAUGGAAUAGCUAAGGGG
rnacentral:lncRNA from 1 species